AUUCAAGAGUCUUAUUGGAACAUCUGGAAAAUAGCUUAUUUAUAAACAAGCCUGAAGCCAAGAAGGCUGAUGGCAGUGGGAAGGUUGAAAAAAGUGACCUCAAGGCUAAAAUGCCCAAGAAGGCAAAGUCCCACCGCAACUGAGAUCUUGCCUUUUUCAGGGGAAUUCGCAGGUAUUCCUGAUCUGCUAUGUAUUCCAGAAAGGCCAUGGGCAAAAGGAAGUACUCAGCCGAUAAAUCCAGGAUUAAAAAGAAAGAGAAGGAGGUCCUUGCUAUGGUUACAAAACCAGUUGGUAGUGACCAGAAUAGUGGUACCCAUGUGGUUAAACUUUGCAAAAUGCCUAGGCACAUCAGUAGAUGAUGUGCCUUUAGGGCUAUUGAGCCAUGGUAAAAAACACUCCAGUCAGCAUAUGAGAAAACUGUGAGCCAUCAUCUCUCCUGGGAACAUUCUGCUCAUCUUCACUGGGUGCCAUCGAAGCAAACAGGUGGUUUUCCUGAAGCAGCUGAGCAGUGUUUUGCUGCUUGUUAUUGACUGAAACUUGGAUCCUCAAUCAAGUUCCUCUGUGUAGAGCACUGAAGAAAUUGUCAUCACCACCACCACAAAAAUUGAUAUCAGCAAUGUGGAAAUCUCAAAACAUCUUACUGAGGCUUACUUCAGGAAGAAACAGCUGUGGAAGCCCAGACAACAGAUGGUGACGUCUUUGGCACAAAGAAAGAAAUAUGAGAAGGCUGGAGCAGGGCAAGGUUGACCAGGCAGCUGUGGACCCGCAAAUUUUACCAAAAACCAAAGCUAUUCCUCAGCUCCAGGGAUACCUGCAACCUGUUUGGCCUGAAAAACGAAGCUUAUUCUUAGAAAUUGGUAUUAUAAAUUUCUUACCAGUAACAUAGUUAA
rnacentral:lncRNA from 10 species